rnacentral:rRNA from 1 species
GGACCUGCCCAGUGAUGUAAUACAUUUAACGGCCGCAGUACCCUGACUGUGCAAAGGUAGCAUAAUCAUUUGCCCUAUAAUUAAGGGCUAGUAUGAAUGGUUUGACAAGAACAUGACUGUCUCUUGUGGGAUAAUUAAAAAUUAAAUUUUAGGUGAAGAUGCCUAAAUAUAACUAAAAGACGAGAAGACCCUGUUGAGCUUUAAAAACUCUAAGGAAAUCUAAAAGGUUUUUUUGGUUGGGGCGACCUAAGAACAUAUAAAGCUUCUUUUAUUAUUUGAGACAUUUAGUUAUGAUCCAAUAAAAUUGAUUAAUAAAAUAACCUACCGCAGGGAUAAC